UACGGAAGGCAGCGAGGGGGAAUAUUGCACAAUGGGCGCAAGCCUGAUGCAGCCAUGCCGCGUGUAUGAAGAAGGCCUUCGGGUUGUAAAGUACUUUCAGUCGUGAGGAAGGUGUUAAGGUUAAUAACCUUAGCAAUUGACGUUAGCGACAGAAGAAGCACCGGCUAACUCCGUGCCAGCAGCCGCGGUAAUACGGAGGGUGCGAGCGUUAAUCGGAAUUACUGGGCGUAAAGGGCACGCAGGCGGUUAAUUAAGUUGGAUGUGAAAUCCCCGGGCUUAACCUGGGAAUGGCAUUCAAGACUGGUUAGCUAGAGUCUUGUAGAGGGGGUAGAAUUCCAUGUGUAGCGGUGAAAUGCGUAGAGAUGUGGAGGAAUACCGGUGGCGAAGGCGGCCCCUGGACAAAGACUGACGCUCAUGUGCGAAAGCGUGGGGAGCAAACAGGGAUUAGAUACC
rnacentral:rRNA from 1 species